rnacentral:rRNA from 1 species
CACGUAGGGAGCAAGCGUUGUCCGGAUUUAUUGGGCGUAAAGAGCGCGCAGGCGGCCGAGUAAGUCGAAUGUGAAAGCCCCCGGCUCAACUGGGGAGGGUCACGCGAUACUGCUCGACUCGAAGGCAGGAGAGGGUAGUGGAAUUCCCGGUGUAGUGGUGAAAUGCGUAGAUAUCGGGAGGAACACCAGUGGCGAAGGCGACUACCUGGCCUGUUCUUGACGCUGAGGCGCGAAAGCUAGGGGAGCAAACGGG